UUUUCUUAACUUUCACCAAGAGAUCUCUCCGCCAAUUACUUUUUCUUAACUUUUCACCAAGAAAGUUAAGAAAAGUGAUUGGCAGAGAGAUCUCUUGGUGAAAGUUAAGAA
rnacentral:pre_miRNA from 1 species